AGUGGCGAACGGGUGAGUAAAGUAUCGGAACGUGCCCAGUCGUGGGGGAUAACGUAGCGAAAGUUACGCUAAUACCGCAUACGAUCUAUGGAUGAAAGCGGGGGAUCGCAAGACCUCGCGCGAUUGGAGCGGCCGAUAUCAGAUUAGGUAGUUGGUGGGGUGAAGGCUCACCAAGCCGACGAUCUGUAGCUGGUCUGAGAGGACGACCAGCCACACUGGGACUGAGACACGGCCCAGACUCCUACGGGAGGCAGCAGUGGGGAAUUUUGGACAAUGGGCGCAAGCCUGAUCCAGCCAUGCCGCGUGCAGGAUGAAGGCCUUCGGGUUGUAAACUGCUUUUGUACGGAACGAAAAGGUUUGGCCUAAUAAGCUGAGCUCAUGACGGUACCGUAAGAAUAAGCACCGGCUAACUACGUGCCAGCAGCCGCGGUAAUACGUAGGGUGCGAGCGUUAAUCGGAAUUACUGGGCGUAAAGCGUGCGCAGGCGGUUAUGUAAGACAGAUGUGAAAUCCCCGGGCUCAACCUGGGAACUGCAUUAGUGACUGCAUAGCUGGAGUACGGCAGAGGGGGAUGGAAUUCCGCGUGUAGCAGUGAAAUGCGUAGAUAUGCGGAGGAACACCGAUGGCGAAGGCAAUCCCCUGGGCCUGUACUGACGCUCAUGCACGAAAGCGUGGGG
rnacentral:rRNA from 1 species